rnacentral:pre_miRNA from 14 species
UUCUCUGUUGUGAAUUUGAAGGACCCCCAGAGUGGGGAGACCCUCACUCAAGUCUCGGGAUGACGUGACCCCCCAAGAACUCACACAAGACC